rnacentral:misc_RNA from 1 species
GAUGAAGAACGCAGUGAAAUGCGAUAAGUAAUGUGAAUUGCAGAAUUCAGUGAAUCAUCGAAUCUUUGAACGCACAUUGCGCCCGCUAGUAUUCUGGCGGGCAUGCCUGUCCGAGCGUCAUUUCAACCCUCAAGCACUGCUUGGCGUUGGCGGAUUGCGUGCCCUCGCGGCGCUGCAACCGCCCAAAUACAGUGGCGGUCCCGCUGCGGCUCCCUUUGCGUAGUAACUCACCUCGCACUGGACCGGGCGGCGGCCUGCCGUAAAACCCCAACUCACGAAAUGUUGACCUCGGAUCAGGUAGGAAUACCCGCUGAACUUAAGCAUAUCAAUAAGCGGAGGA